rnacentral:tRNA from 1 species
UUCCUCGUGGCCCAAUGGUCACGGCGUCUGGCUACGA